CUUGCGGGCCGGGCCCCUCUGGCGAGCAAGACGCAUCCCCCCUCGUCUGCUCGUGAUGUCGGACCGCAUCG
rfam:Sphingobium sp. SYK-6 DNA, complete genome.